GGGGUGGUUUUAGUACGUAGGCACUGGCUAGACCGGUGAAUCGUGCAUACUAGUGGUACGGGCCAAUAGUAUCUAGGAUAGAUUUCCACCUC
rfam:Drosophila ananassae strain TSC#14024-0371.13 Ctg01_16916, whole genome shotgun sequence.